GGUUCUUCUGUCAAAAUUUAGAACUCUGAGUCCUCUUUCCAACAGAUUUUAUUUGAGUGAAAACCGUCGGGUAGAUUGAGAGAAAAGCUAGUUUUCCCAAAGGGUGACAAAUCUGGACAGGUUUUCAAAUAUAGCUUGUAGAUGAAUUUUUGGAGGGGCUGUGCAACUUCUGAAAAUUGGAAUUGAAACUAGACAGAUUGAAUACUGUUUCUGUGCAAUUUUAGCCCCUAAUUUGACCUAGAAGUAUUUUUACUAAAGCGUUCUUGUUAGCCCUAUAGAACCAAACAGUGCUGGAAAUUGUGUUCUAUUAUGUUAUUUGUUUCUAAGUGUUUCAAAGCAUUUCUAAUGUUGUUUUCUUGCCUUACUAUACUUAUGAAUGAUGAUCAUGGACUAUAUUUCCUCUCGUAUGUUUUUCUCAUACUCUUUUAUAUGACCGAAUUAUCGAAUGUGACUAACUUACCUAGCAAAAGAUCUAAUAAACGAGAAAUAAUAAGGGACUGGCAAUGGGUGACGUUCAUCUUAGUGUUUUAGAACACUUUUAUACAUAUGCAUGACAUGAAUUAUGAUGAGAUUAAUACCAAAUGAGUUAAGUCUUGUGUAAGCAUUUUAAGCAAGCCCCUAGGUUGACACAAACGUAUUCAGACUCUAUGCGGUGGUUUCAGGGUAUAAGCGAGCCCUUUGGUAUGGUAUAUGCAGGGUGUAAGCGAGCCCUAUGCAUGAUUUGGGGUGUAAGCGAGCCUACUUGUUUGGCCAUCCCUUUUGAGGUCCAUCGAUAUCGCUGACCGGUAAAUAACCGGGAGGUGGGCAUGGAUGGUAAGGUUUGCAAAGCAGCAAAAGGAGGAGUUCUGAGUAGUCUAGUGUUUAAUCUUGUGGUUAGGUAGAAGGAUUUCUUUGGGGGGUUCUAGAUGCCUAGUCUAACUACUAAUUUAUAAAACCUUAACGUAAGUAUGUUAUGUUUUCUGAUCUGUUUUGUGUAUGGUUGAUUAAUUGAUAGAAGAUAUAGGGGUGUGUGUGGUUUUACUGGGCAUUCCAAGCUCAUGGCGUGUUAUGCCAGGUGAAGAAGCAGCUUACGAUGGGGAGAGUUAUUCCGAAGACAAUCAAGAUGAAGUUUUAGAGCCGUGGUUCACUUGAAAAUUUUGAACUAGUAGUUUGUUUUUGUUUUCUCUCUCCUUUUACCUUUUGGUUUGACAGUGUUUUGUAAACCUCUAGUGGAACUCAAAUCAGUUAUCUAUGUUAUAACUCUAGUUAUAUGUGUAUAUUAAACUAUUGUGGUUAUCGUUUUUGUUUGAGUUGUACUUUAUAUAUUUCUCCUGUGGUCUCAAAUUUGGGGCGUGACAGGAAAACAGCAAGCUCUGAGGCAAAAACCAGCUUAAACCCACUCAAAUAAAGCUUCCAAGUACCUCAGCAACAAGAGGAAGGUAUUUGAGUAGGUGUUUGUGUGCAAAGAUUUAGCAGGAAAUAUAUAAAUUCAAUCAAAAAAGGGACACGAAAGCAAAUUCUCUGUGCGAGAAGUGAAAAAGCCGAGCCAGCCAUCUCAUCGCACGUUCGGCCGAGCUUCACCGUACGUGCGGCCCACCACUACUCGAGCGGCCCACAUGGGCGUUCAAGUAGCCCAUCUAGGGAUGCGUGCAAUAAAUUUUAAUGCUCUUUUGCUGGGAAUAAAAAGAAAAAUAGUGGACUGAAAGGGGGUUCGAAAAAUGUUCUAAGAAAAUGAGAGACUAGGGUUUGAAAAUGAGAUUUUUCCUCAAGCUUAAAGGACAACUUCCAUGGGGGCUUCUUCCUCAUCAUCUUCCCACUCUUCCAUAAGUGGCUAGUCUUCUUUUCUAGGAUUUUGAUGAAAUCCUAGCCCUGUAAUAAGAUUUUUUAUAAGCUUUGAUUGUGAAUCGGUUUGAAUCAAUGUAUGGAUGAUUUAGAAGUUUUUAAUCAUUGUUCUUUUCAUCUCUUUCA